rnacentral:tRNA from 1 species
UUAGAGGGGCGGGAGUUGAACCCGUAAUUAAGAAAUCAAAAUUCUUCGUAAUUCCAUUUUACUACNCCCU